GCGGUAUUGGUCUAGAGGUAUGAUUCAAUCUUAGGGAGGUGUGUGCCUUACAUGAUUGAGGUCCUAGGUUCGAUUCCUAGAUACCGCC